ACUCCGACAGAUUUUCAAGGACACAUUUUGCAUCGUGCGGUACACUGUCAUGAUACACUGUCAGAGUGACAAUGUACUUUAACGAAUUUUCUAUAAAACUAGCAACGCUGAAGGGUAAGAACAAGAUCACCAUAGUUACUGUUUAUUAUAGUGGAAAAUACGAAAACAAAUUCACAAGCGAAGUCGGAAGAGCAGGACGAGACGGUGAUAUUGACGACGAUCACGAUGGCACAUCAAACUGGAAGAUGUUUUGAAGGUGAUCGAAACUAUGGGCAAGGAAAAUGAAAAUGAACUACAGGAUAAAGCAACUGAUUUAAGUCUUUCUCCUGGCGAUGGUCAAACAAGUAAAAGAAAUGAUACGAAGGUCGGUUCAUUAAGUCAGUACAUUUUUUAAAGUGAUUUGUAAAGCUACAGAAUAAAAAUACAUUCCAUCAACUGAA